rnacentral:rRNA from 1 species
CGAACGCUGGCGGCAGGCCUAAUACAUGCAAGUCGAACGGCUCUUCGGAGCAGUGGCGGACGGGUGAGUAACGCGUGGGAAUGUGCCCUUAGGUACGGAACAACACAGGGAAACCUGUGCUAAUACCGUAUGUGCCCUUCGGGGGAAAGAUUUAUCGCCUUUGGAGCAGCCCGCGUUGGAUUAGGUAGUUGGUGAGGUAAAGGCUCACCAAGCCGACGAUCCAUAGCUGGUCUGAGAGGAUGACCAGCCACACUGGGACUGAGACACGGCCCAGACUCCUACGGGAGGCAGCAGUAGGGAAUCUUGCGCAAUGGGCGAAAGCCUGACGCAGCCAUGCCGCGUGUAUGAUGAAGGUCUUAGGAUUGUAAAAUACUUUCACCGGGGAAGAUAAUGACGGUACCCGGAGAAGAAGCCCCGGCUAACUUCGUGCCAGCCGCCGCGGUAAAAC